GUGGGGAAUUUUGGACAAUGGGCGAAAGCCUGAUCCAGCCACGCCGCGUGCAGGAUGAAGGCCUUCGGGUUGUAAACUGCUUUUGUACGGAACGAAAAGACUCUGGUUAAUACCUGGGGUCCAUGACGGUACCGUAAGAAUAAGCACCGGCUAACUACGUGCCAGCAGCCGCGGUAAUACGUAGGGUGCAAGCGUUAAUCGGAAUUACUGGGCGUAAAGCGUGCGCAGGCGGUUAUAUAAGACAGAUGUGAAAUCCCCGGGCUCAACCUGGGAACUGCAUUUGUGACUGUAUAGCUAGAGUACGGUAGAGGGGGAUGGAAUUCCGCGUGUAGCAGUGAAAUGCGUAGAUAUGCGGAGGAACACCGAUGGCGAAGGCAAUCCCCUGGACCUGUACUGACGCUCAUGCACGAAAGCGUGGGGAGCAAACAGGAUUAGAAACCCCGGUAGUCC
rnacentral:rRNA from 1 species